UGUAAUGUGCUCCCUGGAGAAGCCACAGGC
rnacentral:piRNA from 1 species